CCUCAUUGGGCGGAAAGCUCGGUGGCAGUCAUCGGUCUUCCAGCUGGUGGGAGUUGGCGUCGCGGUGCUGGGCGCUGCGACCCUAGUUUAUAUAGUUUGGGAAGUCGGGCUGCGGGGUCGCACCGGUCUGUCUGAAUCCCGAUUUCCUUGGUUUCCUCCCACGGCGUGGAGCCUAGCGAAGAAAUCUCCGGCCCCUUUGGGCCACGGCAGUAGCGGUGCCUUUUGCGGUGAGGAAAGUGAGGCUCAGAGAGAUUAAGUUAACUUGCCCAAAGUAACACAGCCAAUAUGUAACAGAGCUGGGAUUUGAAUCCAAGUCUGUCAGACUGCAAAGCCCAUGCUCUUUCCAGUACUUCACACUAGCAGGUUUUCUGGUAAUCACAUUGUAAAGCCUUCAAGAUGGUACUAGCGGACCUUGGAAGAAAAAUAACAUCAGCAUUACGCUCAUUGAGCAAUGCCACCAUUAUCAAUGAAGAGGUAUGUAAAAUAUGUGAAAUAC